GUUUGAUCCUUGGCUCAGGAUGAACGCUGGCGGUAUGCUUAACACAUGCAAGUCGAACGAAACCUUUCGGGGUUUAGUGGCGGACGGGUGAGUAACGCGUGAGAAUCUGGCUUCAGGUCUGGGACAACCACUGGAAACGGUGGCUAAUAUCGGAUGUGCCGAGAGGUGAAAGGUUAACUGCCUGAAGAUGAGCUCGCGUCUGAUUAGCUAGUUGGCAGUGUAAUGGACUACCAAGGCGACGAUCAGUAGCUGGUCUGAGAGGACGAUCAGCCGCACUGGGACUGAGACACGGCCCAGACUCCUACGGGAGGCAGCAGUGGGGAAUUUUCCGCAAUGGGCGAAAGCCUGACGGAGCAAUACCGCGUGAGGGAGGAAGGCUCUUGGGUCGUAAACCUCUUUUCUCAGGGAAGAACACAAUGACGGUACCUGAGGAAUAAGCAUCGGCUAACUCCGUGCCAGCAGCCGCGGUAAUACGGAGGAUGCAAGCGUUAUCCGGAAUGAUUGGGCGUAAAGCGUCCGCAGGUGGCGAUGUAGGUCUGCUGUUAAAGCGUCUAGCUCAACUAGAUAAGAGCAGUGGAAACUACUUACGCUAGAGUGCGUUCGGGGCAGAGGGAAUUGCAGGUGUAGCGGUGAAAUGCGUAGAUAUCUGCAGGAACACCCGUGGCGAAAGCGGCGCGCUGGACCACUACUGACGCUGAGGAACGAAAGCUAGGGGAGCAAACAGGAUUAGAUACCCUGGUAGUCCUAGCCCUAAACGAUCAGGACUUGGGGUGCCACCCGUUCGGGUGUCGUCCCGGAGCUAACGCGUUAAGUCCUGCACCUGGGGAGUACGGUCGCAAGACUGAAACUCAAAGGAAUUGACGGGGGCCCGCACAAGCGGUGGAACAUGUGGUUCAAUUCGACGCUACGCGAGGAACCUUACCUGGGCUCGAAGCGCACUUGACUAGCUGUAGAAAUACGGCCUUCCCGCAAGGGACAAGUGUGGAGGCGCUGCAUGGCUGUCGUCAGCUCGUGCCGUGAGGUGUUGGGUUAAGUCCCGCAACGAGCGCAACCCCUGCACGCAGUUGCCACUCCGCAAGGAGGGAACUCUACGUGGACUGCUCCGGAUAACGGAGAGGAAGGUGGGGAUGACGUCAAGUCCGCAUGGCCUUUAUGUCCAGGGCUACACACGUGUUACAAUGCAGGGCACAAACCGUUGCCAACCCGCGAGGGGGAGCUAAUCGGAAAAAACUCUGCUCAGUUCGGAUUGCAGUCUGCAACUCGACUGCAUGAAGCCGGAAUCGCUAGUAAUGGCGUAUCAGAUCGACGCCGUGAAUUCGUUCCCGGGCCUUGCACACACCGCCCGUC
rnacentral:rRNA from 1 species